ensembl:lncRNA
CCAAGGUGGACAUCAUGUGUUAGUUACCUAAUGGUGAGAAACAAAUGACCACAACACUCACUGGCUGAAAAUAACAAACACUGAUUAUCUCACAAUUUCCGAGGGUCAGGAUCUUGGGAGUGGCGUAGCUGGGUGGUUCUGGCUCGGAGUCUCUCAUGAGAUUUUAGACAAGACAUUGGCCGGCAUCUGAAGUCUGGACUAGGGCUGGAAGAGCCACUUCCCAGACGGCUCACUCACACGGCUGUGGGCAAAGGCCUUCAUUUCCUCUCCGGCUGCUGGCAGGAUGGCUCGGUUCCUCACCACGUGGACCUUUCUGUAGGGAGGCUUGAAUGUCCUCUGACACGGCAGCCCGCUUCUCCGAGAGCAAGUCACCCAAGAGAGGGCAAGAUGGAAGCCACAAUGCCUUUAAGACCUGCCCUCAAAGUCCCGCUCUGUGUUUUCUACCCCAUUCUAUCCGUUAGAAGGAGUCGCUAAAUCCAGCCCACGCACAAGGAGAGGGGAAUUCGAGUCCGUCUGUGGAGGGAGCAGUGUCAAAUUUGUGGGCAUAUUUGUGGACACCACAGCGGGUUUGACUGGAUCCAGGGAUGAAAACGAGCUCUGGCAUUCUCUCUCAAUCUCCCUCUCUCUCCUGCUUCCUUUUCUGCUUCAGCUCCUCCAGCUAAUGAUCUCUCCACAUUGGCGGCAGGAGGAGACGAUGGUUUCUGGCAGCCCCUGGUGUACAUUAUUUCAACUCCCUGACCAACAAGCACUUACCGGUUAUGCUCUCCUGCAUGAGCACCAAGGACCUGGCCACGUGAGUGUGACCAUCAGACCCCGGCAGGGGUCAACACCGGUCAUAGGCCUGCAGAGCUGGGCCGAAGAGCAACGCCGAUCACAGCAGGAACAGCAGUUUUAGAAGCUCCAGGCGCUAAGUGUUCUACACGUGUUAUCUUCCUUGACUCUCCGAGCAGCUCUGGAAGGUAGGUACCAUUACUGUCAUCAUUUUGCAGCUGAGCAAACUGAGGCUCAAAGACGUUGAGUAAAUCGCUCCAGGUCACAACUGAGAAAGCGGUGGUUUUGAACGUGGGUGAUGUGGCUUCUACUCUCCGCUCUCUCUGCUCUGCUGUGUGGACUUUCAUGAACACGCCGCGACCCAAGCCAAGACCAGGAGCCUCUGGGUGGGCGGCCCGGGCAUCUCCGUGUACUCUGUGGAGCUGGCAGCUGAGAACCUUCACCUUUUCUCUUAAAGGAAGCACUUUACGGCUGCCCUUUGGCACAUCUGAAUUGCCAGCAUCACUACUCUUGUGCUUUCGGGCCAUUAUUAAGUCAAGUAAGGGUGACUUGAACACAAGCACUGCGAUACUGUGACCAGUGAUCUGACACCCGCGAGGACCACUGCGUGACUAGCAAGCGGACAGCGUGUACAGUGUGGAUACACUGGACGAACGAUGAUUCACGUCCCAGGCAGGAGGGAGGAGGAUGGUGUGGGAUUUCAUCACACUACUUAGAACGGCACACAAUGUAAAGCGUAUGAAUUGUUUAUUUCUGGAAUUUUCCAUUUACUAUUUUUGGACUGUGGUUGACUGCAGGUAACUGAAACUGGAAAGAGAAACCAAGGCUCAGGGGAGAUUGCUGUAUAGCAUAACAGCAUGUAUUUUCUCUCUGCAUCUUCAUACAGGUGCUUGUGCAUUUCGAGAAGGGGCUCUGACAACAUCCCUGAGUAGAAUCCUGAAAACGUCCAAUCCAAGCGUGGUCCUUAGGAAUGCCGUUUUCCAGGAUUUCCAGUUCUCUGCCUUCAGGGGCAUGGUGGGGUUGCACCGCACCUGCCUCUCUGAGGUCAGGUGUGGCCAUGAGCAUUUGCCAGGGGAAUCUGAGUGGAGGUGACAUGUCUCACUUCUGGGGUAAGCCAUGCUCACUCUGCCUCGGUGCCCAGAGAGGCUGCAGUGGCGCAUGCUCUGUCAACCGUGUCUCAGAGCAGCCAAGCGCUGGCUGACCUAUGAUAGGCAUGCAGUGAGAGAGAGGUACACUCUUCUUAGUGUGAGCCGUUGAUUUUAGGGUGGGUAGUUACUAGAUCAUAAUCUGGUGUGUCAUGGCUGAUGCUUCAAGUCUCUGUUCAACCCAAAGAGCCCCGUCCCUCUGUUGAAGGACUUCCCCUGGGUCUCUACCUGGGGUUGAUCUAAGGGACAGGUUUGGAGACCACUGCAGCUGGAUUUGGAAGGGACCCAUUGCUGACCUCAAAGUCACAUUGACCAAAGUAUAUUAAAAAUGGAAAAUUGAAAUUCGGAGAGUAAUGGCACUUGAUAGAUGCAUGGAGAUUUAAUUUUUCAAAGACUUUCCACAUCUAUCAAAAUUUUUCCCCAGAAUAACAACAAAAACAAUACGUGACAGAUUCCAUUUCCCAAUGUCUACCGUCUCAUUUGCUCUUCUGCAAUGCGACCUUGCCAUCCUCCAUCAAGAGGUGAAGUUGAUGUCUCAAUCCUUGAUUCUAGGCUGGACUGGGACUCCUUUGACCAGUAGAAUAAAUCCGGCAGAAGUUAUGCUGUGGUGGUUCUGGGAGUAGCUCUGAACUGGCUGGAAGCUUCUGCUUCCUGCCUGCCUUAUUCAGGCUCUGGGAUGAGACACCAUGUGGAGAGAGAGAGAGAGACAGAGAGAGACAGAGAGAGAGAGAGAAGGAGAGAGAUAGCAAGAAGUAUCGUUGUGCCAAAUGUGCAAGUGAAGAGGCAUACUGGGAAACGGAAUCUCGAGCCCCAGAGGCCCAGGGCUAAGAUGAACGACCCAGCUGGGUCCUUCCCCAAAUCCUUGACCCACACAAUCAUGAGUGAAAUAGAUGGUUGGUUGUAG